AUACGGAGGGUGCAAGCGUUAAUCGGAAUUACUGGGCGUAAAGCGUACGUAGGCGGUUCGUUAAGUUAGAUGUGAAAGCCCCGGGCUUAACCUGGGAACUGCAUUUAAAACUGGCGAACUAGAGUUGAGUAGAGGGGAGUGGAAUUUCAGGUGUAGCGGUGAAAUGCGUAGAGAUCUGAAGGAACACCAGUGGCGAAGGCGACUCCCUGGACUCGAACUGACGCUGAGGUUCGAAAGCGUGGGUAGCAAACGGAAUUAGAUACCCCAGUAGUCC
rnacentral:rRNA from 1 species